ACACAUGCAUACAUACACACACAUACACAUACACACACACACAAAAUUAGGUUUAGGUGUUUAGUGUGGGAAUUUGUGUUAGUAUGACUAAAAAUUGACUAUCUUUAAUGUUUGUUGUAGCUAUAUGUGCCAUUUUCUUCAAAUUCCUCUAGUGUCCUUGUUUCUGUUCUCUCUUGACCUUAAUCUUACUUAAGUACUUUUCUUGCAGGCUGUAUCUACAUCGCUUUCAGCUGUAACCCACUGUUAUAGUAGAUACUCAAUGGCAUGAUAGUAAGGUGUGAGGAAGAAAAAAAGUUCUACAAUGGCUUGCAUUCUUGGAAGGUAAAGGGAUAAGAAGCUGUGAAGGUUACGUAAUGGAGAUGAAAGGCAAGCUACAGGAAGUGAAAUUGGCAAUUCUUCUUGGUCCCUGUUUGGGAAAAUGUGAAUCUCAUCCUCUCAGUUUCUAGUUUGACAGACUAUAAGAAGGGACAUACCUAACAAAGAAUACAUCUUGCAGAUUGCUACAUAAAGAGUAAGUACAUUGACAAAUAUUAUGUACUUAAAAUAUAUACAGCUCUGUACUUAGCAUGCCACAUAGAAUUCCUUAAUAUUCCUCUUAACAGCUGUACAAGUUAACUUGACUUUUAUACGCAUUAUACACAUGAAAAAAAUGAGAUGAGAAAGGCCAAAUAAAAUGAAUGAAUGAAUGAAUGAGUUUUUAAAAUUUAUUUUGACAUGAGAGCCAAUCCUAUCAGCCUUGCUGAUUUCUUCAAAAUACUUGCAAAUAAGUUGCUAUAAUAUAAAAACAUCUUCUUAUUGUUUCUCUCUCCUUAAGGAUUUCUCUGAGACAUUUCUAAUAUUUAAAUCUUUUUUCCCAUAGGUUGUCUUUCACGGUACUUUGUAUACACUACUUUGGGUUCAUAUGCCUCAAGUGAAAAAUUGGUCUAAUAACAUUAAUACCUCUGUCACAACCCCAUUGCACAUGAUCAGUUCUAAUAAUGGGUUUUAAAGUAAUUUUGUUUUAUUUUAAAUUACUAUUCAGAUAUCAGUCACUAUGACAUCAGACUUUUUACUCUCUGUGAUAGUUAUAUAUCAACUUAGCUGGAGUAUAGUAUCAAGUUAUUCAAUAAAACACUAAUCUAGGUGUCACUGUGAAGGGAUUUUGUAGAUAUGAUUAACAUCUACAUUUAGUUGACACUAAGUAAAGGAGAUUUUCCUUGAUAAUGUGGUCAAGCCUCAUCCAAUCAAUUGAAAGGCCUGAGCUUUUCUAGAGGAAGAAGUAAUUUUAUCUCAGGACUCCAGCAUUAGCUACUGCUGGACAAUCCCAGCAUCCCAACCUGCCCAACAGAUUUUAGACUAGACUUACCACCUCAUAUGAGCACAUAGCAGAUUCCCAGAAAUCAAUCUAUCUACCUAUGUAUCUAUCAAUCUAUCAUCUCUCUCCUACUGCUUCUGUUUCUGUAGAUGACACUGACAGAUGUGAAUAUUCACAUAAAAGCUGUCAAUAUGCAUGUUCCUUCCUACUACUUGUACCAAUUAAGCAAAGAGUGUAACGGAUGCAUAUUUUUCUAAAGAAUUUCUGUAUGUGUUCUCCGAUUAUUGGUCAGAAAUAAAAAUAUGUUUAUAAUGCAAAAUUCAUAAAAUGUGUAUAAAUGAUAAUGUAUAUGCCUAUAUAAGUGUGUGUUUUUCUGUGUAUACAUAUAUGUAUAUAUGAGUGUGUGUGUAUGUGUGUGCAUUUUUUUGUAACUGAUACUGUGGCCUUUUAUAUCUACCAAAAUCCAGGACUAGUUUAGAAAAGAAAUUACAGCAGCAUUCUAAAAUUUACUUGUUUGAUAUAAAUAUAUUUUUGUAACUUUUUUUGCCUGACAUUUGUGCUGUAAAUCAAAAGUACUUUUGUGAAAGCAAUUUUUUUAAACAAUCUUCUCUGAAAUUGUGUAGGAGGAAGUGAAUCGCUACCACUCAAUCCUGACAUUAAUUCAACAGACACAUAUUUUGAUUUCUGAAGAAUUAUGGAAACAUUCUUUCAGAAGAGAACAAUGAAAGAUAGCAUUCUGUGUUUAGCACAUUUCCCCUUUCCAAGUGGCAGUGGAGCGUUGUAACAGCAAAGUAAAUUGCUUCUUAUUUCUAUGUGCUUUUUAAAACUGUGACACUGACUGAGCUGAACCACCAAGACCACAUCUGUACACAGCUAAAUAAAAGGUUUUACAUGAUGGCAAAA
rnacentral:lncRNA from 1 species